rnacentral:rRNA from 1 species
GACGAACGCUGGCGGCGUGCUUAACACAUGCAAGUCGAACGGAAAGGCGCCAGCUUGCUGGUGCUCUCGAUUGCCGAACGGGGGAGUAACACGUGUGUAAACCGCCCUUCACUCUGGGAUAAGCCUGCGAAACUGGGGCGAAUACUGGAUAUGACCUUUUGCCCUAUGGGGUUCGGUGGAAAGAUGUUCUGUGUAGGAUGGGUCUGCGGCCUAUCAGCUUGCUGUUGGGGUGAUGGCCUACCAAGGCGACGACGGGUAGCCGGCCUGAGAGGGCGAGCGGGCACAUUGGGACUGAGAUACGGCCCAGACUCCUACGGGAGGCAGCAGUGGGGAAUAUUGCACAAUGGGCGGAAGCCUGAUGCGGCGACGCCGCGUGCGGGAUGACGGCCUUCGGGUUGUAAACCUCUUUCAGCAGGGACGAAGCGUAAGUGACGGUACCUGAAGAAGAAGCACCGGCUAACUAUGUG